rnacentral:misc_RNA from 1 species
UCGAAGCCUAAAAAGCACGACCGCGAAUGAGUUUAUAAUUGAGGCAGCGUCGGGAGGCCCUUGGGCCAAGCGGCGCGUCCUCCCUCGGCUGGCGAGCAGACUUUAUUGCUUGUCAAUCGAAAUUAACGAACCCCGGCGCAGACAGCGCCAAGGAAUCAUAACGAAAAGAACUUGACCUUCCAACCCGUUGAUCGGGAUGUGAGGGCCUUGUCUAUUCAGAAAUUAUCAUAACGACUCUCGGCAACGGAUAUCUCGGCUCUCGCAUCGAUGAAGAACGUAGCAAAAUGCGAUACUUGGUGUGAAUUGCAGAAUCCCGUGAAUCAUCGAGUCUUUGAACGCAAGUUGCGCCCGAAGCCUUUAGGCCGAGGGCACGCCUGCCUGGGCGUCAUGCACUGCGAUGCCCCACACAAUUUGCGGGGCGAAUCUUGGCCUCCCGUUAGCCAACUUGCGGAUGGCUUAAAAAGGAGCCUCGAGACGGAAAUACGUCGCGACAAGUGGUGGUUGAAUAGGCUUCGGCCUCAGAACUUAGCGCGUCGCGGCCUGUCCCCUCUGUUGCUCGAAAAAGUCCUUUGCGGUGCGCGUUGAUCGCGCUGCCAGCAUC